CGCCGUUGAAAAGUAUGAGAAAUAUGAAGAAGGAGAACUUAGCCGCAUAGACUUUGUAUGUGUAAUGAGUUACAAAUUCUAGCCUUUAACUUCUUAAACAGAUAUAUAUGAUGUCCGACUGUACAUAGUUUUAUAUUUUAAAGUUAAUCAUUAAAUGACUUAAAAUGACUUUAACUCUGCCAGUGAAAACUUCAAGUCCCAAGCCCGGAUAAAGGAGGAGGGAAGUCAUUUUUCUUUUAAUUGGCGCAAUCGUAUAUUUUAUUUUUGGCUCAAAUGAUACCAUGUAAUUUUAAAACAGGUGGCGCAAACGUAGCAUUGGAGAAAAAAAAUUGUGGCGCAAAAGGACGCAUUUUUGGCGUAAACGGAUCUCUCCC
rnacentral:lncRNA from 1 species